rnacentral:rRNA from 1 species
CACGUAGGGUGCGAGCGUUGUCCGGAAUUAUUGGGCGUAAAGAGCUCGUAGGCGGUGUGUCGCGUCGGCCGUGAAAACCUGCAGCUUAACUGUGGGCUUGCGGUCGAUACGGACAUCACUGGAGUUCGGCAGGGGAGACUGGAAUUCCUGGUGUAGCGGUGAAAUGCGCAGAUAUCAGGAGGAGCACCGGUGGCGAAGGCGGGUCUCUGGGCCGAUACUGACGCUGAGGAGCGAAAGCGUGGGGAGCGAACAGG